AUCGAUUGACUUUUUGGAAAGUUUUCAUAUCUAGACUUUCAUCUCUAAAGAAGAAAGGGCUUCAGAUAUCCUUUGAUCCAUAUCGAUCUGCAACAAGAAAGUCUGUCAUGAUCAUGAUCUAAGAGACUUGGCUCACCUUGUGGAAGAAUUAACGUUGCAAAUGUUUUAGUUGUGAUCUCACAGAAGAAAUAAUCAACUUUUCAUUUUUGAAUACCGUCGAUUGUACAAAAAAGAAACCAUGGGGGAGGCUGUUCUUGGUGCAUUCCUCCCGGUGCUGCUUGAGAAGUUGGCGGAUCAAGAGAUCACUGUGUACUUCGGACGCCUUAAGGGGGUCGACAAAAAGGUGCUGGAGAAAUGGACUAGAACGUUGACGGCCAUUGAAGCGGUGCUGAGUGAUGCUGAGGAGAAGCAACUAACACAAAGAGCAGUAAAACAGUGGCUGGAUGAUCUCAGAGAUUUGGCUUACGAUGUUCAAGAUGUAUUGGACAUAUUUGAUACUAAAAUGCUGAAGCGGAGGAUUGAAAAGAAACAAGGAAGCAAAAGCAAGCUAUGGAGCUCACUCUCUAUCUCUAAAGUUAAGUCCAAUUUUGGUCUGAACUCAGCAAUCAAGAAGAUAAGUGAUCGACUUGAGGAGAUAAGUACUCGAGAGAAGCAGUUUGGUUUGAAGAAACUUGGAGUGUCUAAAAAGCCAUGGAAAAUGCCACCCACUACUUAUCAACUUGACGGACCUGUGAUCGGAAGGGAUGAAGCAAAGGCUAAGAUUAUCCAUGAUUUGCUUUCAAAACAAGAAAAUUAUCAUGUGGUUGGUAUUGUCGGUACUGGAGGACUAGGAAAGACAACACUUGCUAAACAUGUAUUCAACGAUGCUGCAACUGGCCAGUUUUCCCCAAAAGGAUGGGUAUCUGUGUCAGACGACUUUGACAUUGUAAGGGUGGCAGCAGCCGUUUUGGAAUCAGUCACGUCAGCUCCAGUUCAGGUCAAGGAGCUUAACUCAAUUCUGGAGAAGAUAAGUAAGGAAUUGGCUGGCAAGAAGUUUUUAAUUGUUCUUGAUGAUGUCUGGCGCACUUGUAGCUAUGGUCAAUGGACUACACUGCAGGCCUCCUUUCGUGUUGGAGCAGCUGGAAGUAAGAUCAUCGUGACAACACGUGACGCCAAAGUCGCAAAGAUGAUGGGAGAUAGUAGCCCUUAUAACUUGAAGCCGAUGUCAGAAGAUGAUUGUUGGGAACUCUUUCAGCAACAUGCACUCUUAAAUAACAGACCUGAACAUGUUGAGUUCCUUAAAGAGAAAAUUGUAGAAAAAUGCAAUGGGUUACCGUUAGCUGCAAGGACUCUUGGUGGGCUUUUACGUUGUAAAGAAGUAGACGAAUGGGAAGACAUAUUAGACCACAAGAUGUGGACACUAUCAGACUCAGACCAGAACAAGGAGGACGAUAUCCUUCCAGCAUUAAAACUGAGCUAUCAUUAUCUUCCUCCAACUUUGAAACGAUGUUUCUCCUACUGUGCAAUACUUCCAAAUGAUUAUGAAUUUGAGGAGAUGCAAUUGAUCCUUUGGUGGAUGGCAGAGGGUUUGAUUCCGCAGCAACCCAAAGAACGUAAGCAAAUGGAAGAUUUGGGACGUGACUAUUUUCAUGAGUUGGUGUCUAGAUCAUUGUUUCAAAAAUCAAGAAAUGGAAAGUCGCUGUACAUAAUGCAUGACCUGGUUACUGAUUUGGCACGUUGGGCUGCAGGAAGUUCAUGUUGUAGAUUGGAGGAUAUGCAGAAUUAUGACUCGCAUCAAUGUACAUGUUUGCCCAAGAUUCGUCAUUCGUCUUACAUUCUUGGUAUGUAUGAUGGAGUUAAGAAGUUUGAGGUCUAUUCUGAAGCUACAUCUUUGCGAACGUUCUUACCACUUGGGUCACUUUCAAUUCAUUAUCUGGCUCAUAAGGUUACUUCUUAUUUAUUGACCAAACUCCAUUACUUACGACUGCUCUCUCUAAAUGGAUACCGAAUAACCGAGUUGCCAGAUACAAUUGGUGAAUUGAAGCAUCUACGGUAUCUUGAUCUCUCCUACACAUUGAUAGAAAGUUUGCCAGACUCAACAACCACUCUUUACAACUUGCAGACAUUGAUAUUGAAAUGGUGUGGUCGGUUGAAGGCACUGCCCACAAGCAUGAGGAACCUAGUUAAUUUGCGUCAUCUCAACAAUUCAGUACACGGUCAUUGGAAGAAAUGCCUCCUCAGCUUGGUCAAUUGACUAACCUCCAAACAUUGCCUGAGUUUGUUAUUGGCAAAGGUAGUGGAUCAGGAGUAAGAGAGAUUGAGUCAUUAUUGCAUCUGCAAGGGACAUUGCACAUCUCAAGACUAGAAAAUGUGAUUUAUGUCGAGGACGCCAGGAGUGCCAACUUAAAGAGCAAGGAAAGGCUUGAAGCCCUAUUUCUUGAAUGGUUUUCUUCGAGUGUCUCAACAGAAGAUGCAGCAAUUGUGCUUGACAUGUUACAACCUCAUAGCAAGCUCAAACAGCUCAGCAUCAAAGGUUAUGCUGGAUUGAAAUUUUCAACAUGGAUUGGGAAUCCUUCAUUCACAAAAAUGGUGCAGGUAUGGUUAGAAGGUUGUAAUCAUUGUCAAUUCUUGCCACCAUUCGGACAAUUGCCUUGUCUCAAAGAACUUUGUAUACAAGAAAUGGAUGCAGUCGAGAGUGUUGGUGUUGAGUUUUAUGGAGAAAGUGACCUGCCGUUUCAUGUUUUAGAGACCCUUGAGUUUCGUGAACUGAAAAAUUGGAAGAAGUGGUCUCCUUGCCAACAAAAUGAGGGGGUGGGGCUUUUCUCUUGCCUGAAAGAACUUUCCAUCAGGGGCUGCCCCAAAUUGGAGGGUGAUUUACCAGAGAAGCUCGAUUCAUUAGCACAGCUUGAGAUAUUUGGAUGUGAGGAAUUGGUGGUUUCAGUAUCCAAAUAUAAACAGCUUCAUAGAUCAAACAUUGAAAAGUGCAAGAUGGUGGUGUACGACACAAGUACAGUUGGAUUUGACUUACUAGAGAGUUUGACAAUUUCAAAUAUACCAGAGUUGAGAUUCCAAAAAGAGGCGUUCAUGAAAAGCUUGAAAAAUGUUAAAAAGUUGAAGAUCACUGGUUGUGAGGAGCUUACAUGUUGCUUUCAAGAUAGAUUACUGAAACACUUGAUUUCUCUUGGUCGUCUGUAUAUCGAAGACAACUCGAUCCUUGUUGAAAAGCUAGGGAUUGAAGCAAAGCAGUUGGUGUAAUUGCAAAUCCUGGAUUUCAAUAUUGAACAUCUGGAAUUAAGCAGGUGUGGAAGCCUUGUGAAGGUACCACAAGGAUUGCAUCACCUUACAUCACUUAAAGAGCUCCGGAUAAGUUUAUGUUCAAGUCUUGUUUCUUUUCCUGAUGUUGGUCUGUCACCUUGUCUCCAAGUCAUAGUGAUUGAGGACUGCGAAUCUCUAUUGCACUUUGCAAAAUAUCGGAUUCCUCCCAGCCUAAAAAGAAUAGAGAUCACAAAUUGUGGGAAUUUGAAGUCAUUAAUAGAGAAAGAGGAGGAGGUGGGUAACGGUUCUUUUCUUCUUGUCUUGAGCGUUUGAAGAUAAGGGAAUGUCCCUCUUUGAUGUGCUUAUUAUGCAAAGGUCAAUUACCCAGGUCUCUUAAACAGCUUGAGAUAGGUGGUUGUGGACAGCUGAAGCUAAUCAGUGAGAGGUUCCUCGAUGACAGCUGCCAACUCGAAGAAAUUCACAUCUGGGAGUGCCCAAACCUGAAAUCCUUACCCGAGGGACUGUCCGACCUCACCAACCUUUGGUCAUUAAUUGUUUGGGAUUGUCAAAGUCUUGUUUCGUUGCCGAGAAUGAAUGUGUGGCCAAGAGUGAUACGGAUCGAAAAUUGCGAUAAAUUGGAGGUGGCACAGUUGGCCAGAGACAUGAUGCACACCAGUAAUCUUGAAAAACUGAGUAUUGAUUACUUUGAAGGUUUGACUACUACAACUUCCUUCCCCACCAACCUAACAUCACUGGCAAUUUACAAGAUCAAGAAUUGUAAGGCGCUGAUGGAAUCUCAAGGGUUGCAGAGACUCGCCUCUUUGAGAGAAUUGCGUCUACGGGGUGAAGAUGAUGGAGGUCUGGUGUCAUUUCCGCCUGCUGCUGAGAAUUCAAAGGAGACGGAGAUACUGCUCCCCAGAUCUCUUGUUGAUUUGAGUAUUCGAGGCUUCCCAAAUCUAAAGAAACUGAGCAAGGGCUUUCAAUUCCACACCUCUCUUGAAAGUCUUUUCAUCUCCGACUGUCCGAAGCUUACAACCCUUCCAGUGGAGGAAGGCCUGCCUCUUUCACUUGAGCGACUUUAUAUUGACAACUGUCCUCUGCUUGAAGAGAGAUACAAAGGUCGAUACCGGCACCAGAUAGCACACAUCCCUUGCGUACUAAUUAAUUUCGAAGAUAUAUAAGAGAAAAGCAACACUCCUCGAU